UUAAUAGAAGCCAAAACUUAGAGGCUAUUCACUGUUAAUGAAUUAAUUGUAAUACCCUAUUAAA
rnacentral:tRNA from 1 species